rnacentral:lncRNA from 1 species
GGUGUGUCCAGUCCUGUUGUGCCGCUGGGUACUCCGAGGCGUGGGGGCGGCCGAGCAGCAGCCCCGUGUCUGUCGUGCCGAGGGAUGUGAGAGGCUCACACGGCCUCCCGUCCCCACCCAAACAGGAGAAAACCCACGAACAGGAAACCACGCGCUUUCAGGCUCCGUCUGCGCUGCCUGCCCGCGGCUGGCCGCCUGCUGAGGGACGCCCACCCGCCCGGCCAGAGCCUCACAUGGAAGCCCUGGCGCUCAGAAGUAAGGAAAGGCCUGGUCUGAAUUCGGUGGACACUGCUGUGUUCACUGUGGACGAUUUUCGCCAGUGUGGCCCACCCCUGGCCGGGCCGCACGUCCCCAGGAGCAGGACCGUCCCAGAUGCCAGCGCUGGAAGCUGUAGCAGCUCGCAGGAGGUUACGGUCCCUUCUAGGCUGCGGUGUGUUCGGACGGAGGACCUGCCGGAGCAAGCCUGCAGCGGAGACUGUGCCCACAGGCACAUGUGCUUGGCCUCAACUCGGCGCCGGCUGCCCGCCGCCCGUGUGCCCGCAGAGCCCCUGCCGAGGAUGGGUGCCCUUCUCUGCAGACGGAGCACGGGGCUUGGAGCCGUGAGGGCUGUGGGCGGCUGGCACCCCAGGAAGCCUCAGUCUGUGGUUCUCCUCCCUUUGCCCUAAACCAUCAGCCCCUUUGUUUUUAACUUUGGCAAGCUAACCUCAAACUUAACCAUUUUCACCCAUUUGGUGCACGGCUGAGUGGCAUUACAAUACGUGCCCACCGUCGCUGCCAUCCAUCUCCAGAACUUCCCAUCUCUUCCCAAGAAACAAUGUUUCUCAGUCCCCAUGAAACAACGUUUCCCUGCCCCCCUCACCUCCCCGGCCCCAGCCCCCAUCCACUUUCUGACUAUGAACUUGACUCCUCUCCGACCUCCUCCAGGACUGGAAUCCCACUCGGUGCAGGUGUGGCCCUCCAGCUCUGCCCACGCUGCCGCGGGGGUCACCAGGCCUUCCUUGUUAGGCCCGGGGAAUUUUUCAUGGUAUUUACAUACCGUUUUGCAAUCCCUUCAUCUGUAAAUAGAUACUUGGCAGUCCCUUAUUUUUUUCAGACGAAACUGCUGGAAUCAGAGAAAUGCGGUGUUUCUCUGCUAGCCUGGCCUCCCCUCCCCCCUGGGCUGCCCGGAAACCCUUUUCUGCCCCGGAGCCCCCUGUGGACACUGCUGGCCUAGAAACACGGGCCAGCCGUGGGGAGGAACACUUGCGCCGCCCUAGAAAGCCUCCCGUCGUCUGACGUGGGCAUCAGAGUGCAGCACAGCCUCAGGGAAAGAACAGAGGGGCGGUGCCCAGGAGAAGGGGUGCCCCGGGCGACACAGCGGCGGGUCCCCUGGGCCUCCCUGAGUGGACGGCCAGGUCGUGCUCUCCCUGCCACUCCGAGCAGGUGCCGCCUGCUCGCUGCUCCGUCCCAGCUGCGGCUCGUGUCCACCUGCUCCCGGAGCCUCGCCGGGGCCUGGUGCUCGGCACAGACGCGGAUUCCAGGAGAACCCGGGCGACGGCAGCACCACAGAGCUGGCCCCCAGGAGCGCUCUGCCCCCGCCGGGCCUCGUGGCUAAAGAUAGCAGCUCGGGAGCCUCCAGACGCCGCCGCCUAGCCGGCUGGCACUGCAGAACACGGCUCCGGCCCCUCAAGGCCACUCGCCAAACCGCAGGAUGAAUGGGCUCUCACAAUCAAGCACUUUGAAAGCAAAAUGGAACCGUUCCCCGCUCUCCACUCCCCUGGUUGCUAAAAUUACCCCCGCGAUGCUCGCA